rnacentral:rRNA from 1 species
UACAGAGGGUGCAAGCGUUGUUCGGAAUUACUGGGCGUAAAGCGCGUGUAGGUGGCGAGAUAAGUCGGGUGUGAAAUCCCUCGGCUUAACCGGGGAACUGCGUCUGAUACUGGAUGGCUUGAGUUUGGGAGAGGGAUGCGGAAUUCCAGGUGUAGCGGUGAAAUGCGUAGAUAUCUGGAGGAACACCGGUGGCGAAGGCGGCAUCCUGGACCAACACUGACGCUGAGUGAGCGAAAGCCAGGGGAGCAAACGGG